CCGGCACGGGUGAGUAACACGUAUCCAACCUGCCGUCUACUCUUGGACAGCCUUCUGAAAGGAAGAUUAAUACAAGAUGGCAUCAUGAGUCCGCAUGUUCACAUGAUUAAAGGUGUUCCGGUAGACGAUGGGGAUGCGUUCCAUUAGAUAGUAGGCGGGGUAACGGCCCACCUAGCCUUCGAUGGAUAGGGGUUCUGAGAGGAAGGUCCCCCACAUUGGAACUGAGACACGGUCCAA
rnacentral:rRNA from 1 species